AUUGAACGCUGGCGGCAGGCCUAACACAUGCAAGUCGAACGAGUGGCGGACGGGUGGGUAAUGUCUGGGAAACUGCCUGAUGGAGGGGGAUAACUACUGGAAACGGUAGCUAAUACCGCAUACCAUCAGAUGUGCCCAGAUGGGAUUAGCUUGUUGGUGGGGUAACGGCGCACAAAGACGACGAUCCCUAGCUGGUCUGCGAGGAUGACCAGCCACACUGGACUUGGGACACGGUCAAGGCUCCGACGGGAGGCAGCAGUGGGGAAUAUGGCACAAUGGGCGAAAGCCUGAUGCAGCAAUGCGGCGUGUAUGAAGAGGGCCUUCGGGUUGUAAAGUCCUUUCAGGGGGGAGGCGUUACCCGCAGAAGAAGCACCGGCUAACUCCGUGCCAGCAGCCGCGGUAAUUC
rnacentral:rRNA from 1 species